UAUGGUUUGAUUUGGUUUUGGUGUCCUAUUUCUUCAUAAAUUUUGGUAAAUUUUUAAAAUUUCAUAUUAAAGCAAAAUGCAUAGACUAAUAUGGCAAAUACAAUUUUUCUUCUUUCUUAUCUCUUUUUUCUUCAGGUUAAAGGUGUGACAGAUUCAAAAUUCUACAUUCCAAGAAUAACCCCCAGUGCCCGUCAACUUCUUUUGAGAACCAAUCAACCUGGCAACUUGUGGAAGUGAGGUGAGACUGCCCCUUGCUGUUAUUUUGAUGAUUUCCCAUAUUCUUAUAUUCUCUUUCUUUUUGCUAUUUUCCCCAUGAUCUCUAUGCUAAAAUCCUGAUACUGACUGUCCUUUAGCUAAAGGUUUUAUAUUUAACAUAUUUUACAUAUGUCUCUACUUCCUCUAAAUUUUUAAUUUCUUCACAGGUACAGUGUUCUUUCCAUAGUUAGAAGAAGCAUCUUGAUUGAAAAUAUACUUCUAAUCUCCUGCUACUUGCUGAUGAAAUAUUUGAUGUGUGAAAACUUUCCUUAGUUUUAAAAGUGUUAAAUAUCCUUCUAAUCUACUGAUCCAAAUAACCCCAAGUGUCCAUUUGCUUUGCUUGAAUUAUCAAAGUGUGGUCACAGUCUGACUCAGUGGCACACAGUUCUUACCAUUCUCUGGUUUGGGAAAUACAUUUUUUUAGUGGUGAAAGCUGAUGCAGAUGCCCCCCCAAAAAUAGGGUUUUCUUGACCAUGAAUUUUGUGAAAAAAAUAUCAUAAAGAAUUCAUUCAUGAGGGAUUUAUUCCUUCACCAAAUAUUUACUGAGUGUUAGACCAUAUGCUAAAAACUGAUUAAGGUACUUGGAAUAUAGCAAUAAAAUAAACUAACCAAACAAGCAGCCAUCCAAGUCCCUUCCCUCUUGGAGUUUGCUGGUUUGUUGAUGAAAUUUGUGUUGUAUGAAAACUUUUUUUUUUUUUUAGUUUUAAAAGCAUUACAUAGUGUAAAAUGUAAAAUUUAUUUGCUUGCUUGUUUAUUUCAUUGCAUAUUUAUUUUUUAAAGAUUUCUAGAGAAAUUAGAGAAUGCUGUGUAACAAAUAAGAAAGACAUUUUUCAUAGUUUUGGUCAAAACCUGCUUCCUAUUUUGAAGCUAAAAGAACAAAACUGCAAUAUUUAUGAUGAUAUAAAAAACAGCCCAUUCAGUCCUCUUUCCAGUCAAGUGGUGGAGUUAAAAGAACUGAUGACUUCUGAUUUAUGCAUUAGACUGCUUAUGUAGAUACAAGUUUGUAUCAAUAGGCAUGUGUAGGCACAGAUACACAUAUGUCUUUGUGGUUUUUCCUAGUAGGUAUGUAGCUACUUGCUAUUCUCUUCUGAAAGCUAAAGGAAAACUCACAAAACUUACAGAAUUGGCUCCCAAGUUCAUUUAGCAUAAUUUCAGGACAAAGGUCUCAUUAUGAGUGUUGUUAGUAUUUUUGCUAUAAGAUGUGACCUUAUGUAUAUCUCCAAUGAUUGGUUUUCAACCCAUACUUACUCUGUAUUUCAAUUUAUUUAUUCAACUACAUAACUAAGGUAUCUAUGUACUAUUUUACCAUAAAAUCAUUAAGUCAAUGUAGCUGCUAAACAAGGAAAUUCAUUUUCAUGUCUGAAAUGACUAUGAUUAGAAAUUUGAUGCUGGGGAUAUAUUCUUGUUUUUAUCAUUUGGGCACCAUUGCUUCAGCAUCAUCUGUUUACAUCCAUUUGGAGGAGUGGCUAUAAGAGAGAAGUAUAAAGCUGAUCUGUGAUUGCCAGUUGCCAAGAGUAUACCUCCAAUUGCUAAAACAUUGAUGGCCAAAAAUCUGCUAUUUACAUUAACA
rnacentral:lncRNA from 1 species